GACAGAGGAUGCAGGCGUUAUCCGGAAUGAUUGGGCGUAAAGAGCUCGUAGGCGGCUGCUCAAGUCGAAUGUGAAAACUCGAGGCUCAACCUCGAGCCUGCAUUCGAUACUGGGCGGCUAGAGUCUGGUAGGGGGAUCUGGAAUUCCUGGUGUAGCGGUGGAAUGCGCAGAUAUCAGGAGGAACACCGGUGGCGAAGGCGGUGGUCUGGGCCGGCACUGACGCUGAGGAGCGAAAGCGUGGGGAGCGAACAGG
rnacentral:rRNA from 1 species